UACGGAGGGUGCAAGCGUUAUCCGGAUUUACUGGGUUUAAAGGGUGCGUAGGUGGGUUGGUAAGUCAGUGGUGAAAUCUCCGAGCUUAACUCGGAAACUGCCAUUGAUACUAUCAAUCUUGAAUAUCCUGGAGGUGAGCGGAAUAUGUCAUGUAGCGGUGAAAUGCUUAGAUAUGACAUAGAACACCAAUUGCGAAGGCAGCUCACUACGGGGUCAUUGACACUGAGGCACGAAAGCGUGGGGAUCAAACAGG
rnacentral:rRNA from 2 species